UGAUUUGUAUUUGUAGUCUACAAACAAGGCAUCCUAAUUAUUUGUUUGAACAUGCUACAGUCUUGUUUUCUCUGCCGUGUCUUCUCCUUUUCUUAAUAAUGUCACUGCCUUUGAUUUAUUUGCUCAGAUGUGCUAUUUUCUUAAUAACUUCCAUUAUUUCCUGCCCCAUAUAUACUGGUAUGUCCUUUAAAUAGUAGGCAGCAACAUGUGUGAUGGCUAUAACAUAACUCAAUGUUAGUUGGCUUAUAAUCUCUUAUCCCUUGAAAGACUUAGAAAAUGGCAUAUCAUGGGACAACAUAAGAGACCAUAUAGUAGAGGAAUAGAUUCAAGCAUGACAGGUCUUGGCCUCUCAACCUUUUCUGUUAUAUGUCAUGUUUCUAUUAAUUAGUUUGCUCGACAUGAUUCUGCCAAUGGACACUUUCAUUUUCUCUAACAGGCAGGAAUAAAAAUAUUUUUAAUGUGCAUAAAAAAUCAUAGCAGAGAUGUAAGUUGUGAUCCUAAAUUUUAACUUGAUGGUGCUGAAAUUACUUAAUUCUGGGUAGUGCAUGUCGAUAUGGCACUUGUGAAAAUUGAAGAUUUGGUACGGAGUCGCAAAAACUGCAAUACUCUUGGUAAUGCAGAUUUUUUUUGCAUGGUAACCUUUGUAAGUGACUAAUAUCCUGGCUAAAUCACUUCUUGCAUCAUGUCAAUGCAUUGUGUGUUAACAGUUCAUUUUGUUUUUCUUUGUAGAUUCAAAAGAUAAAUGGAUGAUUAUAUGGGUGUGUGUGGCAAGUGUACUACAAUGAUGACGAUGUUCCUGUUCAUGAUGAUGAAGACGGAUGCUUUUUAGUUUUAGUUCAAUUGUAGGGAUGAUGUUCCUGUGAACGAUGUUCCUCGAUUAUGUUUUAGUUAAGUUGUAGGGAUGUUGAUGGAUGUGCUCAAUUUAAGUUUCACUGUCAAGUAACAUUUAGAUUACACAUCCCAUUUAGAUUUGGAUGAUUUUCCUUGUGUAAUAUCCACCAUUGUAAUCCAACAGUUUUAUCUAAUAUAUGAUUUCUUCCUUUCAUG
rnacentral:lncRNA from 1 species